ACUCCUACGGGAGGCAGCAGUGGGGAAUAUUGCACAAUGGGGGAAACCCUGAUGCAGCCAUGCCGCGUGUGUGAAGAAGGCCUUCGGUUGUAAGCACUUUCAGUAGGGAGGAAGGUAGUGUAGUUAACACCUGCACUAUUUGACGUUUACCUACAGAAGAAGCACCGGCUAACUCCGUGCCAGCAGCCGCGGUAAUACGGAGGGUGCGAGCGUUAAUCGGAAUUACUGGGCGUAAAGCGCAUGCAGGCGGCCUGUUAAGUCAGAUGUGAAAGCCCGGGGCUUAACCUCGGAAUUGCAUUUGAAACUGGCAGGCUAGAGUCUUGUAGAGGGGGGUAGGAAUUUCAGGUGUAGCGGUGAAAUGCGUAGAGAUCUG
rnacentral:rRNA from 1 species